rnacentral:rRNA from 1 species
CAGUAGCCGCGGUAAUACGUAGGUGGCAAGCGUUGUCCGGAAUUAUUGGGCGUAAAGGGCUCGCUGGCGGUUUCUUAAGUCUGAUGUGAAAGCCCCCGGCUCAACCGGGGAGGGUCAUUGGAAACUGGGAAACUUGAGUGCAGAAGAGGAGAGUGGAAUUCCACGUGUAGCGGUGAAAUGCGUAGAGAUGUGGAGGAACACCAGUGGCGAAGGCGACUCUCUGGUCUGUAACUGACGCUGAGGAGCGAAAGCGUGGGGAGCGAACAGGAUUAGAUACCCCGGUAGUCCCUGUCUCUUAUAC